UCUCCUCGUCUUUCUCGUUUAAAUAAAGAGCUCUGACGAGUCAAGAGAUUUGCUUUAGUGUCGCGAGGUAUUUUCUUCGUAAACGCCAUACAAAUUGCCUUCUAUAUUAAGUUGUUUACGCUCUGCUGAAUACUGGUAUGUGUGAUGCAAUUCUCGCUGUGUGGACUUGAUGCAGCAGCCAAUCAUAUUAUUGAAUAUUAGCACGUGAUGGUGUUAUGCAACGCUGAUCUCUGAACCCUAUAUAAUCAUGUCCAUAUUUAGACUGCCAAACACGCAUGAUUGACACGUGCUGCAUGUGUGGGUGAUCCAAUGUAUUUAAUCAUACUUGCGUAUUUAUUCUG